rnacentral:lncRNA from 1 species
GCACCAUCCAGCACGCAGUGAAAACCCUGCGGAAUGACCUGGAAAAACUCUAUAGACGCGACUAUACUACCCCAUUCGUCUUCGUGCCAAGACGCAUAAAUUAUCAGCCAAUUAGAGCCGAAAGGUGAAAAUCACGUGCGCGGAAAAGAAAAGAAACUCGUCCAUCAGUCUCCUUGCGCCGUAUAAAAAUGGAAUCAUUUCCAUCCGAAUGUUCAUCCAAGAAACAUCUCAGCACUUUGAAACUACUUGCCAAUCAUCUUCUGUCUUUAAAUCUACAACAUUAAAUGCGAAAACAUCGGUUACAUGCCCAGUACCGGUGAGAAAUCUGGAGGAAUUUGCUACGCCAAUUUUCAAUGCACUCAUUUCGCUCAUGGAAAUGGAUACUGUUUCAUGUUUAGCGAUUUCAGAGGAUUGUUUUCCAAGCAUGAAGCAGGGUGGACUUGUGGUUACAUUCCCAGUCGUCUCAAUUUAGUCGGAUAAGCAGUUGAACUAUACAAAGGAAAUAUAGAACCGCGGCUUUGAAAACGCCAAAAAUCAUGUUCGGAAAAUAUGGACACAAAAAUGUAUUAUGCUAUUGAUUCCCUCAACAAUAACAAAAAAAGGAAUUGGGAUUUUAUAGUUUUCAUCUAGUUGUCAUGUUUGACAGCAUCAAAACUAUUUAUUGCUGGCCAAUACAUUUGAUCCAUAGUUCA